GCGGACGUGGCGGAACUGGCAGACGCACUGGAUUUAGGUUCCAGCGCCGCAAGGCGUGCGGGUUCGACUCCCGCCGUCCGCACCA
rnacentral:tRNA from 4 species